GGUGAAAGUCUGUAACUUGGGGGCAGAGCAUCUGCUUUGCAUGCAAAAGGUCGCAGGUUCAAUUCCUGGCAUCUCCA